GGGGCUCCCGCGGCCCCGGUGGAUGCGGACCGGCGGAUUCCGCACUGGCCUGGGGCUUCUCCGGGGGCAGGUGGAGCCCGGGGAUGCGGGGGUCACCAUGGUGACGGAUCUUUGCCCCUGCAGGUUGGGGGGGGCUGGGCGAAAAGCAGAGAGGCAUGGAGGGUCCCAUCCCCCCCAGCAGGAGGAAAUGCGGCCGGGAACGCCCAGCGCAGCUCCCCGCAUUAUUGUUCCUGCUUCCCGAGCCGAGGAAGGACAGGCCGGCUCCGUGGAAACCCUCCCUCCCCCCACCGCGACCCUCGUCUUCCCGCUAAAUCCGUCGCACCCAGACGGCGCUCAAUAAAUAACCAUUACUUCUG